AGAGUUUGAUCCUGGCUCAGAACGAACGUUGGCGGCAUGGAUUACGCAUGCAAGUCGAACGAAUGCCAUUUGGGAAACUGGAUGGCGGAAGUGGCGAAAGGGGCAGUAAUACAUGGACAACCUACCCUGGGGAUGGGCAUAGCCGUUCUAACGAGCGGGUAAUUCCCAGAGAUUCGGCGACGGUGGCAUCAUCGUUCCGGGAAAUGAGUUUCGCCUCGGGAGGGGUUCAUGAGCUAUCAGCUAGUUGGCGGGGUAACGGCCCACCAAGGCGUAGACGGCUAGCGGGUGUGAGAGCACGACCCGCGCCACUGGCACUGAGACACUGGCCAGACACCUACGGGUGGCUGCAGUCGAGGAUCUUCGUCAAUGGGCGCAAGCCUGAACGAGCGAUGCCGCGUGAGCGAUGAAGGCCUUCGGGUUGUAAAGCUCAAAAGAGGUGAGAAAGGGUAACUUGAUCAAGCCUCAGUAAGCUCGGGCUAAGUUCGUGCCAGCAGCCGCGGUAAGACGAACCGAGCGAACGUUGUUCGGAAUCACUGGGCUUAAAGGGCGCGUAGGCGGAUUUGCAAGUCCGGGGUGAAAUCCCACAGCUCAACUGUGGAACUGCCUCGGAUACUGUGAGUCUCGAGGGUGGUAGGGGUAUG
rnacentral:rRNA from 1 species